rnacentral:rRNA from 1 species
UUUAAAUUUAGAGUUUGAUCCUGGCUCAGGACGAACGCUGGCGGCGUGCUUAACACAUGCAAGUCGAGCGAUGAAGCUUCCUUCGGGAAGUGGAUUAGCGGCGGACGGGUGAGUAACACGUGGGUAACCUGCCUCAAAGUGGGGGAUAGCCUUCCGAAAGGAAGAUUAAUACCGCAUAAUAUAAGAGAAUCGCAUGAUUUUCUUAUCAAAGAUUUAUUGCUUUGAGAUGGACCCGCGGCGCAUUAGCUAGUUGGUAAGGUAACGGCUUACCAAGGCAACGAUGCGUAGCCGACCUGAGAGGGUGAUCGGCCACAUUGGAACUGAGACAC